rnacentral:rRNA from 1 species
GACGAACCACACAAACGUUAUUCGGAAUUACUGGGCUUAAAGGGUGCGUAGGCGGCGCAGAAAAUAGGGUGUGAAAUCCCUCGGCUCAACCGAGGAACUGCGCCCUAAACUACUGUGCUCGAGGGAGGUAGAGGUGAGCGGAACUUAGGGUGGAGCGGUGAAAUGCGUUGAUAUCCUAAGGAACACCGGUGGCGAAAGCGGCUCACUGGACCUCUUCUGACGCUGAGGCACGAAAGCGUGGGUAGCGAAUGGG